rnacentral:tRNA from 1 species
GGAGAGGUGGCCGAGUGGUCGAAGGCGCUCCCCUGCUAAGGGAGUAGACGGCCAAAAACCGUCUCGUGGGUUCGAAUCCCAUCCUCUCCGCCA